GACGUAGGGUGCAAGCGUUGUCCGGAUUUACUGGGCGUAAAGAGCGCGUAGGCGGCUCGUUAAGUGUGAAGUGAAAUCUCUAGGGCUCAACCCAGAAACUGCUUUACAUACUGGCGAGCUGGAGUGAUGAAGAGGUUUGUGGAAUUCCUGGUGUAACGGUGAAAUGCGCAGAUAUCGGGAGGAACACCGAUGGCGAAGGCAGGUCUCUGGGCCACUACUGACGCUGAGAAGCGAAAGCAUGGGGAGCGAACAGG
rnacentral:rRNA from 1 species